rnacentral:rRNA from 1 species
GACGAAUGCUGGCUGCGUGCUUAACACAUGCAAGUCGAACGGUGAAGGGGAGCUUGCUCCCCGGAUCAGUGGCGAACGGGUGAGUAACACGUGGGCAACCUGCCCCUCACUCUGGGAUAACUCCGGGAAACCGGGGCUAAUACCGGAUACGACCUGGUGCGACAUCGCACCGGGUGGAAAGAACUUCGGUGAGGGAUGGGCCCGCGGCCUAUCAGCUUGUUGGUGGGGUAACGGCCCACCAAGGCGACGACGGGUAGCCGGCCUGAGAGGGCGACCGGCCACACUGGGACUGAGACACGGCCCAGACUCCUACGGGAGGCAGCAGUGGGGAAUAUUGCGCAAUGGGCGAAAGCCUGACGCAGCGACGCAGCGUGAGGGACGAAGGCCUUCGGGUUGUAAACCUCUUUCAGCGGGGACGAAGCGCAGGUGACGGUACCCGCAGAAGAAGCACCGGCUAACUACGUGCCAGCCGCCGCGGUAACAC